rnacentral:rRNA from 1 species
GUGCAGCGCGCGGUAAUACCGGCAGCCCAAGUGAUGGCCACUCUUAUUGGGCCUAAAGCGUCCGUAGCCGGCCUCGCAAGUCCGUCGGGAAAUCCAGUAGCUCAACUACUGGGCGUCCGGCGGAAACUACACAGCUUGGGACCGGAAGGCUCGAAGGGUACGUUCGGGGUAGGAGUGAAAUCCCAUAAUCCCGCACGGACCACCGAUGGCGAAAGCACUUCGAGAAAACGGAUCCGACAGUGAGGGACGAAAGCCAGGGUCUCCAACCGGAUUAGAUACCCUGGUAGCC